GCCUACGGGGGGCAGCAGUGGGGAAUAUUGCACAAUGGGGGAAACCCUGAUGCAGCAACGCCGCGUGAGUGAUGACGGCCUUCGGGUUGUAAAGCUCUGUCUUCAGGGACGAUAAUGACGGUACCUGAGGAGGAAGCCACGGCUAACUACGUGCCAGCAGCCGCGGUAAUACGUAGGUGGCGAGCGUUGUCCGGAUUUACUGGGCGUAAAGGGAGCGUAGGCGGUCCUGCAAGUCUGGAGUGAAACGCAUGAGCUCAACUCAUGCAUGGCUUUGGAAACUGGAGGACUGGAGAGCAGGAGAGGGG
rnacentral:rRNA from 1 species